AAUUAUGUAUGCAUGUUUUAAAGGCAGUAAAGCAGCCACCGGUAGUUAAUGCAACAUUAAGUCAGAGAUUUUAAAUCCGCAGUAAAUUUUGAGUUAGAGUAUUUAAAUCAACCAUCCUCCUUUCCCUCAGCCCUGGUCCAUGUGGGUGAGAAACGGUCCUUCUAUAAAAUGACCAUGUGGCACUUGUCCAAUGACACAGAAAAGUUAUAUUGAGAUUUUCAGAGUUUCAAAUCUUAACUGUAAAAUAAAGAACCUAAAGGCUUAUAACUACAUUUGGCAAGAGUCUGGAGGAGCAGGCAAAUCUGAUCAGUGACUUCUGCCCACAGCAUAACUUGUGACUGUAGAGUUUCUAGCCGGCUCUCUUCCUUUUGCCAUCUUUAUUUUUCUGCCUUCAUUUCUUCCUUUCCUUAUCAACUUUUGCAUCAGUGAGAUGGUUGCUGUGGCUGCCUAUAUGGAGACGAUGCUAAUCUAAUCACACCUAACAUAAUUAAACCUCAUGUUAAGGUUUAAUAAAAAGGG
rnacentral:lncRNA from 1 species